rnacentral:rRNA from 1 species
GACGAACGCUGGCGGCGUGCUUAACACAUGCAAGUCGAACGGAAAGGCCCUGCUUUUGUGGGGUGCUCGAGUGGCGAACGGGUGUGUAACACGUGAGUAACCUGCCCUUGACUUUGGGAUAACUUCAGGAAACUGGGGCUAAUACCCGAUAGGAGCUCCUGCUGCAUGGUGGGGGUUGGAAAUUUUCGGCGGUUGGGGAUGGACUCGCGGCUUAUCAGCUUUUUGGUUGAGUAGUGGCUUACCAAGGCUCUGACGGGUAACCGGCCUGCGUGCGUGACCGGCCACAUUGGGACUGAGAUCCGGCCCAGACUCCUGCGGGAGGCAGCAGUGGGGAAUAUUGCCCGAUGGGCGGGAGACUGAUGCGGCGACGCCGCGUGCGGGAUGGCGGCCUUCGGGUUGUAAACCGCUUUCGCCUGUGACGCAGCGUGUGUGACGGUAAUGGGUAAAGAAGCACCGGCUAACUACGUG